GAGGCGGGGUGUGGCGCCCAACGGCCAAGGGUACUGCUCGCGCGAUCUAAGACGCGGGGCACGGGAGGCGGGCAUCACAGAG
rnacentral:SRP_RNA from 11 species